rnacentral:tRNA from 1 species
UCCCUGGUGGCUCAGAGGUUAAAGCAUUUGCCUGCAAUGCUGGAGACCCAGGUUCGAUCCAUGGGUUGGGAA